GGAAAGCGCCUUUCAGGCAUCCUCUCCCAAAACUUCACAAGCCGGCCUUCGGGCCGGCUUUUCUUUUGCCCGCC
rnacentral:sRNA from 1 species